rnacentral:rRNA from 1 species
UACCAGCACCCCGAGUGGUCGGGACGUUUUAUUGGGCCUAAAGGCAUCCGUAGCCGGUUCUACAAAGUCUUCCGUUAAAUCCACCCUGCUUAACAGAUGGGCUGCGGAAGAUACUAUAGAGCUAGGAGGCGGGAGAGGCAAGCGGUGACGUCGGUGGGUAGGGGUAAAAUCCGUUGAUCCAUUGAAGACCACCAGUGGCGAAGGCGG